rnacentral:tRNA from 1 species
CAGGGAGACAAAAAAUUGAUCUUGAUGUCUGAGCUAAAUUUUUAUUCUUAGGCCAAGAACCUGUCACCUUAGGUCGAUCGGUACCUCAGAAUAGUUAACAAAAACAAUCUAUGUUUUUGUUCUAUUUUCAGUUUCUAAACUUGUCUAGGUCACACCCCGCAAGGGUUACUCCUGGGCCAUUAGCUCAGGUGGUUAGAGCGCACCCCUGAUAAGGGUGAGGUCCCUGGUUCAAGUCCAGGAUGGCCCAUUCGGCGUUGGGGGUAUAGCUCAGUUGGUAGAGCGCCUGCUUUGCAAGCAGGAUGUCAGCGGUUCGAGUCCGCUUACCUCCACUGGCCAGCCCCUUACAGCUAUAAAAGGUGAGGGAUCUUUGUAAAAUGUGUGAUUUAGGCUUCAAUCCGCUGAUUGAACCUAGCUUCUUUUCAUUCCAAUUUUUUAUUUAAUUCGGUUGAAAGGAUGCUGGGCUCGCUUCAAUUUUAAAUAAAUUGACGUGUCUUCAGCAGAACCUUGACAACUGCAUAGUGAGUCUGGAAAAGAAAAAAGCAUCUCAUGGAUGCAUUGUUCUUAUUUCUUUUGGAUAAAUCUAAUUAGGAAUAGAUUCAAUGCUUUCUAUUGAGUAAGAGCCGAGAUUUUAUUGGAUUAAAAGUCUUUAUUAAAGAUCUUUUAAAGUCAAUAGAUUUUAUUUU